rnacentral:rRNA from 1 species
GACGAACGCUGGCGGCGUGCUUAACACAUGCAAGUCGAACGGAAAGGUCCUGCUUUUGUGGGGUGCUCGAGUGGCGAACGGGUGAGUAACACGUGAGUAACCUGCCAUUGACUUUGGGAUAACUUCAGGAAACUGGGGCUAAUACCGGAUAGGAGCUCCUGCUGCAUGGUGGGGGUUGGAAAGUUUCGGCGGUUGGGGAUGGACUCGCGGCUUAUCAGGUUGUUGGUGGGGUAGUGGCUUACCAAGGCUUUGACGGGUAGCCGGCCUGAGAGGGUGAGCGGCCACAUUGGGACUGAGAGACGGCCCAGACUCCUACGGGAGGCAGCAGUGGGGAAUAUUGCACAAUGGGCGGAAGCCUGAGGCAGCAACGCCGCGUGCGGGAUAACGGCCUUCGGGUUGUAAACCGCUUUCGCCUGUGACGAAGCGUGAGUGACGGUAAUGGGUAAAGAAGCACCGGCUAACUACGUG